rnacentral:tRNA from 1 species
AUCUAUUUAAUAUAAAAAGUAUAUUUGACUUCCAAUCGAAAAGUUUGUAAUACAAAUUAGAUA